rnacentral:lncRNA from 1 species
AUGAAGGCGCAGAGGUGCCCGGAUUACGGGCCACCACAUGGGUCCUGGGGCCACUUCGAUGCCUGUUUCCAGUGUCCGUGGGCCCGUUUCUUGCCUUCUGGGUACCACUUCCUCCUCCGUCCCACGGGGCCGCGUGCUGGGCCAUCCAGCCCCCCGCCCGCCCACCCCCUGGGGCAGCCGGGCUCUAUGCUCCUCCGUCCCUUUGGAGCCUCUGGCUUCAAAUGUCCAGGGCAGAAGAAUAGCCUUUGGUCACUGAUUUUUAAUUUUUAUUAUUCUGGGGACACAGGGACCAAUUCUUGUUCCUUUUCUGCUCUUCGUGCCUCCCUCCCUCACCGGCCCGACUGCAGAGCCCCAGAGGAGGAGGGACACACCCAGGCGGAUGGACGCUGGGCUCACUUCUGCCCCUGGCAGCCCCAACUGCCCCCCAGGACUCUGCUCCUUCCGGAAGCUCUCUGUGACUCCCCUGCAUCCGGCAGGGUGGACGCCUGUGUCCCCUGCGAUCCGGUGGCUGCAAGACUUCUCUGGGCCCAGGGCAGUGACAACACCCAGGGCUGCUAUGUGACUGGUCCCCGCUCAGCGCCCCUGGCACAAGCCCAGGGUCAGGUGCAGGGGAAGCCUCCGCGUGCACCUGCUGAGUGCACACGUCAUGAACGACGUCUUGAAACAGAGGCCUUGCCCGGGGCCAGGGUCGGGACCUCUGACCUGCCUUGGGGACACUGGCCAGGAUGGUCGCAGGGAGCUGGUCACAUCAGGAACCCCGCCAUGAGGCUCGGGGGCGUCAGGGCCUCUCCGCGGGCUCUCUGCUCCCUUCCACCCCUCGCCCUGGCCCCGCUCCUGCUCCCUGCUCACCCUGUUUCUUCUUUUCUAAAGGACACUUGGCCCGGGCACCACAAGGGCAGGGCUGUGCGGCCAGGCUGUGGCCGGUGCAGGCAGCGCGGAGGGGCAGCCUCCUGCAGCUGUGCUGGAGAGGACGGGUGGCUCCUGGACCGGGCGGCAUGGCCAGGGGACUCCACCUUGCCUGGCCAUCGGUUCUCCGCAGAUGCUUCUGCAAACCCCUCUCGUACAUGGAGGGAAGCAAAGAUGAUCUUUAUUCCUGCUCUUCCAGGGGGCGGUCGGGGUGAAGCACCUCGUUGCUCCCUAACCCCUUGGGCAACCCUCUGGUGGGUGGUCCCCAGGGCCCCCCACGGGCCUGACGCCCCCGGGCUGGACGCGUGUCCGUGGGCCAGGGAGGGAAAGACAGAGCUGGGCCCGCUUUGGAGUUUCACAUUCCUGUGUUGA